rfam:Trichobilharzia regenti genome assembly, scaffold: TRE_scaffold0025315
AGUUAGCUGACGAGUCCCAAAUAAGACGAAAUGCGCACCCUGGAU